rnacentral:rRNA from 1 species
UACGUAGGGUGCAAGCGUUGUCCGGAAUUAUUGGGCGUAAAGAGCUCGUAGGCGGCUUGUCGCGUCGACUGUGAAAACCCGCGGCUCAACCGCGGGCCUGCAUUCGAUACGGGCAGGCUAGAGUUCGGUAGGGGAGAUCGGAAUUCCUGGUGUAGCGGUGAAAUGCGCAGAUAUCAGGAGGAACACCGGUGGCGAAGGCGGAUCUCUGGGCCGAUACUGACGCUGAGGAGCGAAAGCGUGGGGAGCGAACAGG